AGCGGCCAAACGGUGCACCAGCCGGAAUGGGAUGUCCACGCCGUGGAGGGUGCAGCAGUGACGCUCAGCUGCAGCUACGACAGUUCGACGUCGGGCGACUAUAUCUUCUGGUACAAACAAGAAGCCAACGCAGCACCCGAGUUCAUCCUGAGCCGAUUUAAGCUCGAUCAAGGCAAGACUGCAGAAAAGUACUCUGACAGGUAUCGCUGCAGCAUGGACGCCAGCGCUCGGCAAGCUCCUCUGCGUAUCGAGCGCGUGAAGCCCAGCGACUCGGGAGUCUUCCACUGCGCCUUGCAGCCCACACUGACACAUCCACUGGCGUGCCUGCACAAAAACUCUUGCAACCGCCUCAUCGCGUAACACAGGGGCCCCCAA